rnacentral:rRNA from 1 species
AGUGAACGCUGGCGGUAGGCCUAACACAUGCAAGUCGAACGGCAGCACAGAGGAGCUUGCUCCUUGGGUGGCGAGUGGCGGACGGGUGAGGAAUACAUCGGAAUCUACUCUGUCGUGGGGGAUAACGUAGGGAAACUUACGCUAAUACCGCAUACGACCUACGGGUGAACGCAGGGGAUCUUCGGACCUUGCGCGAUUGGAUGAGCCGAUGUCGGAUUAGCGAGUUGGCGGGGUAAAGGCCCACCAAGGCGACGAUCCGUAGCUGGUCUGAGAGGAUGAUCAGCCACACUGGAACUGAGACACGGUCCAGACUCCUACGGGAGGCAGCAGUGGGGAAUAUUGGACAAUGGGCGCAAGCCUGAUCCAGCCAUACCGCGUGGGUGAAGAAGGCCUUCGGGUUGUAAAGCCCUUUUGUUGGGAAAGAAAUCCAGCUGGCUAAUACCCGGUUGGGAUGACGGUACCCAAAGAAUAAGCACCGGCUAACUUCGUGCCAGCAGCCGCAGUAA